UACAGAGGUCCCAAGCGUUGUUCGGAUUCACUGGGCGUAAAGGGUGCGUAGGUGGUCAGGUAAGUCGGAUGUGAAAGCUCGGAGCUCAACUCCGAAAUGGCAUUGGAAACUACCUGGCUAGAGGAUUGGAGGGGGGACUGGAAUACUUGGUGUAGCAGUGAAAUGCGUAGAUAUCAAGUGGAACACCAGUGGCGAAGGCGAGUCCCUGGACAAUUCCUGACACUGAGGCACGAAAGCUAGGGGAGCAAACAGG
rnacentral:rRNA from 1 species